AACUCACAGUCUGACCAGAGGAUGGUUGCGUUGAUGAGGUCUGUAUGGGCCACCCUUUCAUGUAUGACUGCUGUGCUGUGUAGCACUUAAGCUCUGCAAUGUUGAUUCUUCAGGCUUUGUAUUUUCCUUUCAGCUUGUAUUAAGCAUAUGUUGCUUCUCUGUACACAGGCAUCUCAAAGAAUUUCUCAGCUGCCUUUCUGUCAUCCCUGAGUCCAAAUUACAACUGUCAAUUAUACAUGAAAGGUCUUGGCCCUUGGCAUAUGAGAGUACUGAUCAUCAAAUAUUACAUCCCACUCAAAAUGCUGUCUUGAGAAAUUGUUACGGGCGAGUUGCAUUACAGAAUGUGGCUUAAGUGAUGGUCAUAAAUAGCAGCAGAGACAGGUUGGGGCAGAUAUUCCACUGAUACAAACUCUUAGAUCCCUGCUGGAAUCAGUGCAUCAAUGGGAUGGUGGCAGCCUGUACCAAGCAGAGGUCUGCCACAGCAUCUGCAGAAAGAUGAGAGAGAUGCCAUGCAGAAAAACAAACCCCACCGAAGUUCUGGAGGGGUAGGAAUCAUGAGACUCACGGGAUUAUCUCAGAAGACGUCAGUAGCUGGAGUGAUCUAUUGUCUGGAACAGCAGUGCUCAUCUCUUCACAAUUUCAUGAAGUCAAAAAGGAGUCUAUGGUGGAUCACCGUCAUCCUCACUGAGCUGAAGAGAGUGGCCUGGUUCCUUCAUGUUGCUUACAUCUCUCAUUCCUCUUCUAGGCUAUGUUUCAGGACAGAUGACCUUCCAAAACACACUGUCUAUCUGGCCUGCUAACUGCUUGGAGUUAAGUUUUUGAAGAACUCUUCUUAUGGAAGUGGUGAGAGAGAGGGAUAUGUGCUUGGGUUUUACCUGAGGGGAACUGGGGUUCUUCCAGGUUGCAACAGCCAGACC
ensembl:lncRNA